AGAGUUUGAUCAUGGCUCAGAAUCAACGCUGGCGGCGCGCUUAACACAUGCAAGUCGAACGAGAAAGGGGAGCAAUCCCUGAGUACAGUGGCGUACGGGUGAGUAACACGUGGAUGAUCUGUCUCUUAGUGGGGAAUAACCCUGGGAAACCGGGGAUAAUACCGCAUAAGCUCGAGAGAGGAAAGCAGCAAUGCGCUGAGAGAGGAGUCCGCGGCCGAUUAGCUAGUUGGCAGGGUAAAAGCCUACCAAGGCAGAGAUCGGUAGCCGGCCUGAGAGGGCACACGGCCACACUGGCACUGAAACACGGGCCAGACUCCUACGGGAGGCAGCAGUGGGGAAUCUUGCACAAUGGGGGAAACCCUGAUGCAGCGACGCCGCGUGAGCGAUGAAGCCCUUCGGGGUGUAAAGCUCUUUCGGCAGGGAAGAUAAUGACGGUACCUGCAGAAGCAGCUGCGGCUAACUACGUGCCGGCAGCCGCGGUAAUACGUAGGCAGCGAGCGUUGUUCGGAGUUACUGGGCGUAAAGGGUGUGUAGGCGGUCGUUUAAGUUUGGUGUGAAAUCUCCCGGCUCAACUGGGAGGGUGCGCCGAAUACUGAAGGACUUCGAGUGCGGGAGAGGAGAGUGGAAUUCCCGGUGUAGCGGUGAAAUGCGUAGAGAUCGGGAGGAAGGCCGGUGGCGAAGGCGGCGCUCUGGAACGUUUCUGACGCUGAGGCUCGAAAGCGUGGGGAGCAAACAGGAUUAGAUACCCUAGUAGUCC
rnacentral:rRNA from 1 species